rnacentral:tRNA from 1 species
GCCUUUGUGGUGUAAUGGUAGCACACUCAGCACAUAUUCGAGAGUGUCCAGGUUUGAGUCCCAGUGAAGGCA